UGGGAGUUCCGUGCAUGUGUCAGAUUGAC
rnacentral:piRNA from 1 species